GACGAACGCUGGCGGCGUGCCUAAUACAUGCAAGUCGAGCGGACCGGAUUGGGGCUUGCCUUGAUUCGGUCAGCGGCGGACGGGUGAGUAACACGUGGGCAACCUGCCCGCAAGACCGGGAUAACUCCGGGACACCGGAGCUCAUACCGGAUAACACCGAAGACCGCAUGGUCUUCGGUUGAAAGGCGGCCUUUGGGCUGUCACGUGCUGAUGGGCCCGGGGCGCAUUAGCUAGUUGGUGAGGUAACGGCUCACCAAGGCGACGAUGCGUAGCCGGCCUGAGAGGGUGACCGGCCACACUGGGACUGAGACACGGCCCAGACUCCUACGGGAGGCAGCAGUAGGGAAUCUUCCGCAAUAGGCGAAAGCCUGACGGAGCGACGCCGCGUGAGCGAAGAAGGCCUUCGGGUCGUAAAGCUCUGUUGUGAGGGACGAAGGAGCGCCGUUCGAAGAGGGCGGCGCGGUGACGGUACCUCACGAGAAAGCCCCGGCUAACUACGUGCCAGCCGCCGCGGUAA
rnacentral:rRNA from 1 species